UACGUAGGUGGCAAGCGUUGUCCGGAUUUACUGGGCGUAAAGAGCGCGCAGGCGGUCAUCCAAGUCGGGUGUGAAAGCCCCCGGCUCAACUGGGGAGGGUCAUUCGAUACUGAUCGACUCGAAGGCAGGAGAGGGUAGUGGAAUUCCCGGUGUAGUGGUGAAAUGCGUAGAUAUCGGGAGGAACACCAGUGGCGAAGGCGACUACCUGGCCUGUUCUUGACGCUGAGGCGCGAAAGCUAGGGGAGCAAACGGG
rnacentral:rRNA from 1 species